CAGUUCUGCCACUUCCACUCUGCCAGAUCAUAAUCUCUGCUCAUUUUGCCACCCUGACUCUGUCUACUGUUCCACAUCUCACCACCCUGCUACCCUGUUCUGGACUCACCACACCACCACUCCCUUGGAUUCCCCUCCGGACCUGUUUACCCUGUCCCAACCCUGCACACGCCAACUUCAGCCUCCACAUCUGGUUUCCUACAACUCAUCCAAGCUUCACCGGAUCUGCGCUCCAUAUCUCCCUGUGUUACAAUAAAUACCUUGGUUCAUUCA